CCUACGGGUGGCAGCAGUGGGGAAUAUUUCGCAAUGGGCGAAAGCCUGACGCAGCGACGCCGCGUGAGGGAUGAAGGUCUUCGGAUCGUAAACCUCUGUCAGCAGGGAAGAACGGUCACUGUGCUAAUCAGCAGUGAAUUGACGGUACCUGCAAAGGAAGCACCGGCUAACUCCGUGCCAGCAGCCGCGGUAAUACGGAGGGUGCGAGCGUUAAUCGGAAUUACUGGGCGUAAAGAGCUCGUAGGCGGUAUGUCAAGUCAAGGGUGAAAUCCCCGCGCUCAACGUGGGAACUGCCUUUGAUACUGGCAGACUGGAGUGUGUGAGAGGAUAGUGGAAUUCCAGGUGUAGGAGUGAAAUCCGUAGAUAUCUGGAGGAACAUCAGUGGCGAAGGCGACUAUCUGGCACAUAACUGACGCUGAGGAGCGAAAGCGUGGGUAGCAAACAGGAUUAGAUACCCCAGUAGUC
rnacentral:rRNA from 1 species